UACGUAGGGUGCAAGCGUUCAUCGGAAUUCCUGGGCGUAAAGCGUGCGCAGGCGGUGAUGCAAGACAGAUGUGAAAUCCCCGGGCUUAACCUGGGAACUGCAUUUGUGACUGCAUUGCUGGAGUGCGGCAGAGGGGGAUGGAAUUCCGCGUGUAGCAGUGAAAUGCGUAGAUAUGCGGAGGAACACCGAUGGCGAAGGCAAUCCCCUGGGCCUGCACUGACGCUCAUGCACGAAAGCGUGGGGAGCAAACAGG
rnacentral:rRNA from 1 species